CCGGCGCACGGGUGAGUAACGCGUAUGCGACUUGCCCGUUGCAGGGGGAUAAUCGGGAGAAAUCCCGUCUAAUACCGCGUAACGCCGCGGGGCUGCAUGGCCCUGCGGCCAAAGGGAGCGAUUCCGGCAACGGAUGGGCAUGCGUGACAUUAGCUAGUUGGCGGGGCAACGGCCCACCAAGGCGACGAUGUCUAGGGGUUCUGAGAGGAAGGUCCCCCACACUGGUACUGAGACACGGACCAGACUCCUACGGAAGGCAGCAG
rnacentral:rRNA from 1 species